rnacentral:rRNA from 1 species
CGGCGGACGGGUGAGUAACACGUGGAUAACCAACCUAUAAGACUGGGAUAACUUCGGGAAACCGGAGCUAAUACCGGAUAAUAUAUUGAACCGCAUGGUUCAAUAGUGAAAGACGGUUUUGCUGUCACUUAUAGAUGGAUCCGCGCCGCAUUAGCUAGUUGGUAAGGUAACGGCUUACCAAGGCAACGAUGCGUAGCCGACCUGAGAGGGUGAUCGGCCACACUGGAACUGAGACACGGUCCAG